UACGGAGGGGGCGAGCGUUGUCCGAAGUUACUGGGCGUAAAGCGCGCGUAGGCGGGUUGGCAAGUCCGCUGUGAAAGCCCGAGGCUUAACCUCGGCGGGUCGGUGGAUACUGCCAGUCUUGAAGGUGCUAGGGGGAGAUGGAAUUACCGGUGUAGCGGUGAAAUGCGUAGAUAUCGGUAGGAACACCAGUGGCGAAGGCGGUCUCCUGGGGCAUUCUUGACGCUGAGGCGCGAAAGCUGGGGGAGCGAACGGGAUUAGAAACCCCAGUAGUCC
rnacentral:rRNA from 1 species